GCUCCCAUCCGAUCCCUCGACUCGGCAUCUUAUCGACCACAUAAUCAGAAUUUUGCUGACCACAAAGGAUGACUUCUCACGAUCGAUGCUGAUAAAAAUAUAUCUAGGCUAACUCUUAGCUAUAAGCCGACCCCAAUCCGCUGAUCAGUUCAACCAUGUGGAUCAGUGUCAAGAAUCUCCUAAUGGACUAUCAGAAUGUGGCCACUACCUCAAUCUGAUAGAUUCUCUAUCCUAACGGCCUCGC
rnacentral:lncRNA from 1 species